AGCGCAGGCGGGAAGACAAGUUGGAAGUGAAAUCCAUGGGCUCAACCCAUGAACUGCUUUCAAAACUGUUUUUCUUGAGUAGUGCAGAGGUAGGCGGAAUUCCCGGUGUAGCGGUGGAAUGCGUAGAUAUCGGGAGGAACACCAAUGGCGAAGGCGGCCUACUGGGCACCAACUGACGCUGAGGCUCGAAAGUGUGGGUAGCAAACA
rnacentral:rRNA from 1 species